CAUAAAAAAAUAUUAAAAAAUGGAACAAAACUGGCAAUGAUAAAGAGGAAAUUUCCAUUGAGCGUAGCGCUAGCGUGUGAAAAUUAAAUAAAAACAUCGCAUUUUUCCAAUUUGCCGUUUUUCCGAUUUAUUUGAUUUUCCAAAUGAUUUGUUAGUAGCCAACUUCUGUCACCCUCAGUCCCGCCCAGGGCCGUUUGCUGCAAAUUUGGUAGAGUUAGUGAACGCUUAUUGCUGUUUGCUUUUAUAAUGUAAAGGCAGCUCUAUCUCUUAAUACGUUAACCCCCACAAUCAGUGCAUUCGAGUGCCUUGAUCUUAAAUCAGGCUUUCGCUACCUGGCAUAAGUCAUAAGUUGUGACGUGAAUAUGGCAGCGUGAGAGAAGCAGAAAAAAUGCAAACGCUGUAAUUUAAUUUUAUUUAUCUCUUUUAUACAAAUCAAUAACCGUUUAGACUUAUUCAAAGCUAAUUCAGCUUACCAGCAUAUAUGUAUGUGAGAGCAUAUGAAAAAUUACCAAAAUUUUAAAUGUGGAGUUCAAAAGUCACUCAAUAUGUGAACAAUUUUGUGAAAGAGAUUUACAAAGGUGAAAGUUUACUGGGCGAAGGUAAACACAAUUACUUCGUUGGAGAUACAGUAGCGAUUACUAGACUCUGCGUACAAAGUUCGAAACCAGAAGACACAUGCCUGUUAUAUUAAGAACCAUAGCUUUAAAUAAAUAAUGUACACUAAAUUAAGCAAUACAUAACACACAUAUACACACUCUUAGUCUAAAAUAUAAGCUGUAUUUAUGUAGAUGUAUGUUAAAUAAAACUUCAACUCUUGACCAUUAAAUUUGGUAAUUGAUAAACUUUCGUAGGAGAACUAGCAAAGAAUUGUGUUCGAGCAUGAGAUACCAUGCCGGAAACAUGAACAAGCAUUAGCUUUCCGCUGACAAAUUUAUUUCCAGCGCCGAUAUUCAACGCACUAAUACAAACGUAUCUAACAGCUCACUCAACUCGCUGCGCCGCGGCACGCUUUGUAAGCUUCAGCAGCUGUUCAUCCGGAGUUUUGGCCACUUCACCGCCGCAGUUGCAAGUGCUAACUGCUCGUUGCAAAGUCUACUUCAUAAAGUUUUAUUGCUUAUUCUGGCCAACCGAAAUUUUUGUCAGUCGUUUUUGCACUUUUACUUUUACUCUUACUUUUGCUUGUGAUCUUUCCUCAUUUUCGGGCUUAAGCCUGCUUCUGCUUUCAACUCCUCGUUUCAUUUUGUUUCUUUUUCUUUUUUCGUUUUUUGGUUUCAUCUUUGCGCAUUGUUGGCAAAACUACUUUAAAAUUUGUGCUUUCUGCCGCCGCAGCGAAAAUGGAUUUGAGUGCAGUUAAUGGAAAUGCUGAAUGCAAAUGGCAGUUGAAAAAUCGUUGGCCAACUUUUCGCUUGUUCGUUUUUGUACAAUAAAUUUGCGGGGAAUUCCCGAAAGUGCUGCAUGCACAUUCUUUUGUUUUAAGCCUCUCUAUCGCUGUGACGACGAAAACUCAGAAGACAAAGCAAAUUUCAAUUUAUGUUUAGGCAAUUUUGCAGCAAGGAUAGUGCGCCGAAAGUUACGACUGCAAGUGUGCGGAAGCAAUAUGAAGCAACAACGUGCGCCAAACACAAAUAAAAUAAAGGGAAACCUAAUUAAAUUUAAGAAGACUAAAGGCUUCAACUAUUAAGCGAAAAUUUUUACAAGAAAACAUAGAACGACUUACGAGGUGUGUUCAAAAAGUAUCGCCAAUUUUGUGUUUUUUCAAAAAUUAUUUAUAUAUUUUUGAAUAUCUAUUUUGUCCCCUUCAAAGUAAUCCCCAUGAGAUAUUAUACACUUGUGCCAACGGUUUUUCCAAUCUUCGAAGCACUUCAAAAAAUCAUUUUUUUUUAUCUUCUUCAGCUCCUCCUUCGAUGCCGUCUUUAUCUCGUCAAGAGAAGCGUAACGUCGUCCUUUCAUGGGCCUCUUCAGUUUAGGGAACAAGAAAAAGUCACAGAGGGCCAGAUCUGGGGAAUACGGUGGCUGCGGCAUCAUUAGUGUGUUGUUUUUGGCCAAAAAGUCGCGCACAAGCAACGAUGUGUGCGCAGGGGCGUUAUCGUGGUGCAAAAGCCAAUUUUUGUUCUUCCACAAAUCCGGGCGUUUCUGGCGGAUUGCUUAGCGCAAAUUGCGCAUAACGUGCAGGUAAUAUUCCUUAUUGACCGUUCUUCUCUGUGGCAAGAACUCAUGAUGCACCACGCCCCUGCAAUCGAAGAAAACUGUCAGUUACGAUUCGCGAUACUUUUUGAACACACCUCGUAUAAGCAUAAAACCGAAUUUCAUUAGUCAUCUCACUUGAAAUUUGGCUUAAAGCCUUUUCCUACAAUUUUGGAUAAUUUUUAAGUCUUCAUUAAGUUUCCAUUCCCUUCUCACAUUUCCGUAUUUAAUUUUUCCAUUUCCGUCUGCCAUUAUUAAGUACAAGCAUUUAAGCAUUGCAAUAAAUCUUCGCAAGAACAUA